GACCAAAACCCUGGUAUGGAGAUACGCAGGAAAGCCUGUAGAGUACAACAGUAACAUCCUACGGAGAUUUGCAUGCAGAUUGCUCAGUUGUUCAAAUAUAGGGAGGGGCAUCUGCUAUUCUCGACGUAUUUCGGGGAGGCUGGAGGGCCCGAGAUUCGGUAGCGAAUUUUUGCUUUUUCUUGUUGAUCAGGCUCUUGUUGUUGCAAAUGAAGCUUCUUCCGGGAGUAGAAACCCGGCUAAAACCCGACACUAACACUCAGACCAGAGCACUUGCAAUCCUCCAGCCUGUCUGAGAUCGGUUGACCCUGUUCGUCGCCUAGCUUCGCUGGUUUGUUUCGCUUCGAGAUAGGAAAGUGGAAAAGCAUUGUCAGAUAUUAUGACCAUUUUCAAAGUGGUAAACAAAUUGUAAUCCGAAGCAGUACGGAAAAUGAGGUCUGCGCAAUCCCUUACUCCUUUUAUAUCACUCUAGAAAGGCCCUGGUAUGUCUGAUUUGCGCUUGGAAGAAUUGGCGACAGAGGAAGAUUCCCAAUAAAGAGAAAGAUGUAGAUAUGACUUUUGAAGCUAGAUAAUAGAAGAGAGGAUGGGUUUGAUGCUUCCCACCUACGUCUUUCUGAUUCAUCCGAAUGAUAUCCUGCUUAGCUUGGCACGUCGAUCCGUUUCUCUUCUGGAUCCAUGUCUUUGCUUCGCCUGAAUAUAGCAUUCAGCUAUGAGUGAACUUGGCGGCC
rnacentral:sRNA from 2 species